GCCUGGCUGGCUCAGUUGGUGGAGCGUGUGACUCUUGAUCUCAGGGUUGUGGGUUCGAACACCACAUCAGGCG
rnacentral:tRNA from 1 species